rnacentral:rRNA from 1 species
GACGUAGGGCGCGAGCGUUGUCCGGAUUUAUUGGGCGUAAAGAGCUCGUAGGCGGCUUGUCGCGUCGAAUGUGAAAACCCGAGGCUCAACUUCGGGCUUGCAUUCGAUACGGGCAGGCUGGAGUUCAGUAGGGGAGACUGGAAUUCCUGGUGUAGCGGUGAAAUGCGCAGAUAUCAGGAGGAACACCGAUGGCGAAGGCAGGUCUCUGGGCCGAUACUGACGCUGAGGAGCGAAAGCGUGGGGAGCGAACAGG